GACGAACCGUGCGAACGUUGUUCGGAAUAACUGGGCAUAAAGGGCGCGUAGGCGGGCCCGAAAGUCAGGGGUGAAAUCCCGCGGCUCAACCGCGGAAGUGCCUUUGAUACUGCGGGCCUGGAGGGAGGCAGGGGAGUGCGGAACUUCCGGUGGAGCGGUGAAAUGCGUAGAUAUCGGAAGGAACACCGGUGGCGAAAGCGGCGCUCUGGACCUCUACUGACGCUGAGGCGCGAAAGCCAGGGGAGCAAACGGG
rnacentral:rRNA from 1 species